UACGAAGGGUGCAAGCGUUACUCGGAAUUACUGGGCGUAAAGCGUGCGUAGGUGGUUCGUUAAGACAGGUGUGAAAUCCCCGGGCUUAACCUGGGAACUGCGCUUGUUACUGGCAGACUUGAGUGUGGCAGAGGGGGGUGGAAUUCCACGUGUAGCAGUGAAAUGCGUAGAGAUGUGGAGGAACACCGAUGGCGAAGGCAGCCCCCUGGGCUAACACUGACGCUGAUGCACGAAAGCGUGGGGAGCAAACAGG
rnacentral:rRNA from 1 species